rnacentral:rRNA from 1 species
AUUGAACGCUGGCGGCAUGCCUUACACAUGCCAGUCGAACGGCAGCACGGGUGCUUGCACCUGGUGGCGAGUGGCGAACGGGUGAGUAAUACAUCGGAACAUGUCCUGUAGUGGGGAUAGCCCGGCGAAAGCCGGAUUAAUACCGCAUACGAUCUACGGAUGAAAGCGGGGGACCUUCGGGCCUCGCGCUAUAGGGUUGGCCGAUGGCUGAUUAGCUAGUUGGUGGGGUAAAGGCCUACCAAGGCGACGAUCAGUAGCUGGUCUGAGAGGACGACCAGCCACACUGGGACUGAGACACGGCCCAGACUCCUACGGGAGGCAGCAGUGGGGAAUUUUGGACAAUGGGCGAAAGCCUGAUCCAGCAAUGCCGCGUGUGUGAAGAAGGCCUUCGGGUUGUAAAGCACUUUUGUCCGGAAAGAAAUCCUUGGCCCUAAUACGGUCGGGGGAUGACGGUACCGGAAGAAUAAGCACCGGCUAACUACGUG